rnacentral:rRNA from 1 species
UACGUAGGCAGCAAGCGUUGUUCGGAAUUACUGGGCGUAAAGGGCUCGUAGGCGGCCGACUAGGUCAGACGUGAAAUCCCUCGGCUUAACCGGGGAACUGCGUCUGAUACUGGACGGCUUGAGUUCGGGAGAGGGAUGCGGAAUUCCAGGUGUAGCGGUGAAAUGCGUAGAUAUCUGGAGGAACACCGGUGGCGAAGGCGGCAUCCUGGACCGACACUGACGCUGAUGAGCGAAAGCCAGGGGAGCAAACGGG